rnacentral:lncRNA from 1 species
GUGGACUUGUAGUCACAUCUUUCUGCACUGAAACUAAUAUUCUAAUUACCUACAGAUGCAGAUUGUUCAUGUGUCUUCUGAGAGCACAAGUGAAGUUGCUCUGCUACCUGCUGGACCUAUAGCAGAUGGUUAUUCAGAUUCUACAAUCACAGCUGUCAGGAAGAGCAACCACAGUCACUCUUGUCUAGUAAUCAUCACCUGGUUUUGUGCUGUUACUGUUUGCUUCCCCUUUUGUUCCAGGCAUGUAAUGAGAAGUGAGAUUAUAAUCCUGACUGAGUGA